AUUUUGGUUGAUCCUGCCAGUAGUUAUAUGCUUGUCUCAAAGAUUAAGCCAUGCAUGUCUAAGUACACACGAAUUAAAAGUGAAACCGCAAAAGGCUCAUUAUAUCAGUUAUGGUUCCUUAGAUCGUUAACAGUUACUUGGAUAACUGUGGUAAUUCUAGAGCUAAUACAUGCAAAUUAAAACAUGAACCUUAUGGGACAUGUGCUUUUAUUAGGCUAAAAGCAAAGCGAUCGCAAGAUCGUUAUAUUGGUUGAACUCUAGAUAACAUGCAGAUCGUAUGGUCUUGUACCGACGACAGAUCUUUCAAAUGUCUGCCCUAUCAACUUUUGAUGGUAGUAUCUAGGACUACCAUGGUUGCAACGGGUAACGGGGAAUCAGGGUUCGAUUCCGGAGAGGGAGCCUGAGAAACGGCUACCACAUCUAAGGAAGGCAGCAGGCGCGUAAAUUACCCACUCCCAGCUCGGGGAGGUAGUGACGAAAAAUAACAAUACAGGACUCAUAUCCGAGGCCCUGUAAUUGGAAUGAGUACACUUUAAAUCCUUUAACAAGGACCAAUUGGAGGGCAAGUCUGGUGCCAGCAGCCGCGGUAAUUCCAGCUCCAAUAGCGUAUAUUAAAGUUGUUGCGGUUAAAACGUUCGUAGUUGAACUUGUGCUUCAUACGGGUAGUACAACUUACAAUUGUGGUUAGUACUAUACCUUUAUGUAUGUAAGCGUAUUACCGGUGGAGUUCUUAUAUGUGAUUAAAUACUUGUAUUUUUUCAUAUGUUCCUCCUAUUUAAAAACCUGCACUAGUGCUCUUAAACGAGUGUUAUUGUGG
rnacentral:ncRNA from 1 species